AUUGAACGCUGGCGGCAGGCCUAACACAUGCAAGUCGAGCGCGCGGCGGACGGGUGAGUAAUGUCUGGGAAACUGCCUGAUGGCGGGGGAUAACUACUGGAAACGGUAGCUAAUACCGCAUACCAUCAGAUGUGCCCAGAUGGGAUUAGCUAGUAGGUGGGGUAACGGCUCACCUUGGCGACGAUCCCUAGCUGGUCUGAGAGGAGGACCAGCCACACUGGAACUGAGACACGGUCCAGACUCCGACGGGAGGCAGCAGUGGGGAAUCUUGGGCAAUGGGCGCAAGCCUGACGCAGCAAUGCCGCGUGUGUGAAGAAGGUCUUCGGGUUGUAAAACACUUUCAGCGGGGAGGCGUUACCCACAGAAGAAGCACCGGCUAACUCCGUGCCAGCCGCCGCGGUAAUUC
rnacentral:rRNA from 1 species